CAUUAGAUACCCGCGUAGUCCCAGCCGUAAACUAUGCGCGUUAGGUGUAUCGGUGACCACGAGUUACCGAGGUGCCGAAGGGAAACCGUGAAACGUGCCGCCUGGGAAGUACGGUCGCAAGGCUGAAACCUAAAGGAAUUGGCGGGGGAGCACCACAACAGGUGGAGCCUGCGGUUUAAUUGGACUCAACGCCGGGAAGCUCACCGGAUAGGACAGCAGAAUGAUUGCCGGGCUGAAGACCCUGCAUGACUAGCUG
rnacentral:rRNA from 1 species